AGGUGACUGGGGCUCCAAAUCCUUCCAUAAAAUGUCCAACAGGUCAUCAUAAAUUAAAACUUUAUUUUCUUCACUCAGAGAAUAUUAGAAUGAUGGGACUAUCUGUUUAUUCUCUAAAUUUACAGAAUCAAACACUU